rnacentral:rRNA from 1 species
AUUGAACGCUGGCGGCAGGCCUAACACAUGCAAGUCGAGCGGCAGCGGAAGGAAGCUUGCUUUCUUGCCGGCGAGCGGCGGACGGGUGAGUAAGGUAUGGGAUCUGGCCGAAGGCGGGGGAUAACCACUGGAAACGGUGGCUAAUACCGCAUAAUCUCUAAGGAGCAAAGUGGGGGACCGUUCAGGCCUCACACCUUCGGAUGAACCCAUAUGAGAUUCGCUAGUAGGUGGGGUAAUGGCUCACCUAGGCGACGAUCUCUAGCUGGUCGGAGAGGAUGAUCAGCCACACUGGGACUGAGACACGGCCCAGACUCCUACGGGAGGCAGCAGUGGGGAAUAUUGCACAAUGGGCGCAAGCCUGAUGCAGCCAUGCCGCGUGUAUGAAGAAGGCCUUCGGGUUGUAAAGUACUUUCAGUCGUGAGGAAGGUGUUAAGGUUAAUAACCUUAGCAAUUGACGUUAGCGACAGAAGAAGCACCGGCUAACUCCGUGCCAGCCGCCGCAGUAA